AUGUCAAGUCAGCAUGGCCUUUAUAUCCUGGGCUACACACACGCUACAAUGGCCAACACAAUAGGUUGCUAAGCCGCGAGGUGGCGCCAAUCCAAUAAAGUUGGUACUCAGUUCAGAUUGUAGGCUGCAACCCGCCUGCAUGAAGAUGGAGUUGCUAGUAACCGCAGGUCAGCUAUACUGCAGUGAAUACGUUCCCGGGGCUU
rnacentral:rRNA from 1 species